rnacentral:rRNA from 1 species
GGACUACUGGGGUUUCUAAUCCUGUUCGCUCCCCCAGCUUUCGUGCCUCAGCGUCAGGUGUCGUCCAGGGCGCUGCCUACGCCGUCGGUGUUCCUCCGGAUCUCUACGCAUUUCACCGCUCCACCCGGAAUUCCACGCCCCUCUCCGACCCUCAAGCGCUCCCGUCUGGACACCACUCUCCCAGGUAAGCCAGGAGAUUUCAUCUGUCCACGCGGAACGCCGCCUGCGCACCCUUUACGCCCAGUAACUCCGGACAACGCUCGCCUCCUACGUAUUACCGCGGCUGCUGGCAC